rnacentral:rRNA from 1 species
GACGAACGCUGGCGGCGUGCUUAACACAUGCAAGUCGAGCGAUGAAGCACCUUCGGGUGUGGAUUAGCGGCGAACGGGUGAGGAACACGUGAGGAAUCCGCCUUUCACUUCGGGAUAACUCCGGGAAACCGGGGCUAAUACCGGAUAUUUUCAACUGGCGGCAUCGCCGGUAGAAGAAAGUUUUUCGGUGAAAGAUGACCUCGCGGCCUAUCAGCUUGUUGGUGAGGUAAUGGCUCACCAAGGCGACGACGGGUAGCCGGCCUGAGAGGGCGACCGGCCACACUGGGACUGAGACACGGCCCAGACUCCUACGGGAGGCAGCAGUGGGGAAUAUUGGGCAAUGGAGGAAACUCUGACCCAGCGACGCCGCGUGAGGGAUGAAGGCCUUCGGGUUGUAAACCUCUUUCAGCAGGGAAUAAGCGAAAGUGAAGGUACCUGCAGAAGAAGCACCGGCUAACUAUGUGCCAGCCGCCGCCGUAA